rnacentral:rRNA from 1 species
CUAUACAUGCAGUCGAGCGGAUGAAGGAGGAGCUUGCUCCUCUGAUUCAGCGGCGGACGGGUGAGUAACACGUGGGCAACCUGCCCUGUAGAUUGGGAUAACUCCGGGAAACCGGGGCUAAUACCGAAUAAUCCACCAGACCACAUGGUCCGGUGUUGAAAGGCGGCUUCGGCUGUCACUACAGGAUGGGCCCGCGGCGCAUUAGCUAGUUGGUGGGGUAACGGCCCACCAAGGCGACGAUGCGUAGCCGACCUGAGAGGUGAUCGGCCACACUGGNACUGAGACACGGCCCAGACUCCUACGGAGGCAGCNGUAGGGAUCUUC